rnacentral:rRNA from 1 species
GACGAACGCUGGCGGCGUGCUUAACACAUGCAAGUCGAACGGAAAGGCCCUGCUUUUGUGGGGUGCUCGAGUUGCGAACGGGUGAGUAACACGUGAGUAACCUGCCCUUGACUUUGGGAUAACUUCAGGAAACUGGGGCUAAUACCGGAUAGGAGCUCCUGCUGCAGGGUGGGGGUUGGAAAGUUUCGGCGGUUGGGGAUGGACUGGCCGCUUAUCAGCUUGUUGGUGGGGUAGUGGCUUACCAAGGCUUUGACGGGUAGCCGGCCUGCGAGGGUGACCGGCCACAUUGGGACUGAGAUACGGCCCAGACUCCAACGGGAGGCAGCAGUGGGGUAUAGUGCACUAUGGGAGGAAGCCUGAUGCAGCAACGCCGCGUGCGGGAUGACGGCCUUCGGGUUGUAAACCGCUUUCGCCUGUGACGAAGCGUGAGUGACGGUAAUGGGUAAAGAAGCACCGGCUAACUACGUG